rnacentral:lncRNA from 1 species
ACUCAGCUCCCUCAGUCAGGAAGAGAACCUGGUGUCUCCCAGAGGCAUGGAAAUUAAGGCUCAAGAAGGUGACUUGCCCAAGACUUCAUAGCCCACAACUGCUGGAGGUGGGAUUUGAACUCGUCUGCGAGGUUCGAAAUCACCCCAGCCCAGUGCCUGCUCCUGACAGAGACUCAGCAAGUGCAGCUCUGCGUGUUUCCUCCAUCACAGAGGCCUGCUUAGGGGAAAAAUCUUGCUGAAGAAAAGUGGCCGAUGGUUUCGAGAGAAGAGACGCUUAUUCAUGUAAUUCUCAAGAAUCCCAUCUCCGGCUUAGAAGGACACCUUUUCUGAUUUCCCAUUCAAAGGGACUGACGUACACUCAGGGGCUGAGGCAGCAGCUGUUUUUGCUGUGCACAGACUGGAGAGCGAUGUGUGAGUGAAGUCUGUGGCCACUUCUCUCCUCCCCCGAGCCUUCUGGGGUUUGGGUUUAUGACUCCAGAGGCGGAGAAGCGUGUUCCCUUUCUGUGCGGAUCCCGUCAUUGACAGAGUCUGUUUUAGAAGAGCAUUUUUAGAUGGCAGCGAACGUUCCAGACCCCAAAGCAUUCUCUUUACAGCACCGUCUAGCUUGGGUGGGGAUAGGGUGGGUUUGUGAACACGUGUGUGCGUGAGAGUGUGAGUGUGUGCAAGUGUGUGCACGUGUGUGUCAGUCCCUCUGUCUGGCUCCCACUGCUAGCCACCUCUGUCAUAUCCUGACUAUUUCGCCGGGGCAUCGUCCAGCCAUAGGAAUCUUCAGCAAACCUACAGUUCAGACGAACGCCCUCGUUUCUGCCCUGAGAAGAAAGUCCGUUGAGUCUGAGGGCUCCCGAGUCAUUCUCUCAAGGCAUUCAUUCAGUUUUGUUUCCCCUGGUGCUACCCUCUCUGAAGUCGUUAUUACUCAUUAGGUGUAUUGCACAUACAGAAAAAGUAGGUCAAGGAUUAAAAAAAAAAAGAAAAAACAUCUCUGGGAGAAGCACAAGUAUUGUGUAAAGCUAUUUUGAACUUGCGUGAGAUUUUUCAAGGGGGAAAUGUUUUGUGCAGAGACGGCUGCUGCCACAGCUGACUUACCAAUGAAUGCCCGUGUCUGAGCCUUUCAUACGCUAACCACGUGACCUUGGAAUUCCAUUUUGAAAUGAUAAUUGUGCCCAGUGGGGUGAGCAGCCUCUCAAUCCAGGUUCUAUACAAUAUAGGUCACCUCGAGGAUCCUCAGUAGAACAGGAACAAGAGAAUCCUGAGAAAUCUCUGUAAAGAAACAGAAAGAAUGAGAGAGAAAACUGUGUGUCUAACCACCGGGCCCCUGGGCCCUAUGUGCCACCCAGGUUUGGAGCAAGGCUGCGGGGCAGAUGAUGUCCAGGAGAGCCUCAGAAAGUCCGGGCUCUAGAAAAAAAUACGUUCCAGCUCACUCUGCUCUGACCCUGCAUCUGCUCUGUGCUGAAAGCUUUGUUGCUGCCAUGAAUAUAUUUAAGGGGAAUAAAAUGUGCAGUGUCAAAGCGACUGGCUUGAAGUGGGCUGGAUGCAUCCUAGGCUCCGCGAGGGAAAAGGCCUCUAGCUGGCAGUUGACAGAAGGGGGAAGGCAGUGAGGAGUGGGCCCACCCACGGGAGUCUGGGCAUGAGGCGGGUCCUGGUUCCCAGGCUGCCCCGUGGGAAUAUGCUCCAUGGGCUGGGGCUGCUGUGCUGGCUGCUCUUGCCCCCAGGGGGUCACUACGCUGGGCUUCUCCAUCAGGGCUAUCACGAUAUUGCCCAGGGUUUACAGGUUUACAGGCAUUAUCUCACUCAGUGUUGUUUUGCUCCCUUUCACAAAGAAAGGAAGGAAAAGAGAGGCAGGGGGUGAGAGAGGAAGCCAGACUAGCAUUCAGCUCUGCUAGUUGUUCCUCGCCUGGGUUAGGCUUCCCUGGAAAGUAGCCUGCAU